GGGGCGGGACUGAAGUGUGGCAGGAAGACGGGCCUUGUCCAAUGUCUGGAUCUGGUAGUGGUUACAGGUGACCACAGGGCUCAGAACACUCACUGCACCACAGUCGGCCCUGUUCGUCACCUGAGGGGAGCAUAUGUUCUGCUGCCUGAGGUGAGUCACCUGAGGUGCUGCCACUGAGGGCAAUUGACAAGGUAGCAGGGAGCUCUCUGGGCUACUCGUGCAGCUUUCUGUGAAUUGAUAUUGUCAAAGUAAAAUGUUUUAAAAGACAUCAAAAGUUAUAAUAAUUAAAAUAACAUGGCUACCAUAUAAAAAGGGCAGGUCAGUGAAUGGGGAAACACGGACAAGAGUGACUGUGUAUGUAUCGAUGUCACUAUGUCUAUAUAUAAUUAGAGUAUGAUAAAGCUGGCAUCAAAAUCAGGUGGGAAAAGGAAGGCUUGUAUGAUAAACCGUGCUAGGAAGAUUCCUUAACAUUUUAAGAGAAAAUGUAAGGUGGACUGUAACAUCCUGCUGUAUGCUCUGAUAAAUUCUAGAUGGGUUGAGUGAAUAUAAAAAGUGACUACAUGUAUAUCAACUCUACUUAAAAUUUUUUAAAAGGUAGACUGACUGUAAACUGAUCAGGCAACUCAAAGGGGAAAGGAAAAGAACAAUUAGUACCAUCUUCCAGUUGACAGUGUGUGGUCAUCUAAAAAAAAUUUCCUUACUGGGGGAAAAAAAAAAGUGACUACAAAAAAUAGGAUGUACAUUUUAUUCUGAUUCCUCAAUUGGGAACAUCUUUCUAAACCUCAGAGCAAAGACAUUACAGAUAAUAUUGAAGGAUUUGACUACAUUAAAAAGUAAAACAUCUCCCCAGCCCUCUAUAAACACAUGUAAAACAAAUAAUGGUAAGUUCAAAAAAUAUUUACAACAGAAACAAGAGGUCAAAGAGUAACACAUGACAGGUCCAGAGCCCAGACAUGUUGCGGGUGGAAGUCAGACUGAAGGCAUCUGGUAACGUGGGAAGUGGGUUCAGAGGCCCCCAGAUCGCAGUUCUGUGAACAAGUCUGUAGGAGCCCCUGCCCUUACGUGUGGUCAUCCCCGGGAAGGGGAUGGAGGAGGCUUCCAGGAUCAGAGAAACCUGAUGUAAGUCCAGAAAAGAAGAAGCUUGCCAUCCCACAGAUCAUCAUCACCACACCCUCAAAAGAGACUGUGAUCAGCUAUGGUUCCAUGGGAAUGCAGGAGCAGAGAACCAUUCGGGAACGGGCAGAGCAGGGUCCCUACUCCCGACACAGAAACCCCAGCACAGUAGACGCCUAUAACAUACAGACCACAGAAUAAACAGACACCCUGGCA